ensembl:lncRNA
CAGGGAAGGCCUCCAGCGAGGAGUGCUGAGAUCACCGCAUCCUCAUUUGCCCUAUCUUGGUUUUAUUUCUCGGGGCUGUUCAACGAGAAAAUUCUUUCGAAGAGUCAGCUCUAGGCUCAGCACCAGGCUGGGUGUCAGGAGGCAGAGAUAAGAGUCCUGGUUGCUGCUUCAAUGAGGCCCAGACUCAGAGAAGCAGACAGUGUUACAACACCAAGCCGGCCAUAUGGGAGCGAUAAGCUGAGGGAGUGAACAGGCCCUGGGGACACAUCUGUCCAGUCCGGUGGAGUGUAUGCUGGGCUGACACACCUUCCUGGCCGACUGUGAAAGGAAGUGGAGGCGUGGGCCUCGAAUCGGGGAAGGUCUGGGCCAGGAGGUGAGAGGGGGCCCUCCUGUCGCUUCCUUGAGGACCCCUGCCUCCGUGCACUUCACCUUCCUGGGCCUUGUCCUGUGGAUUGAAUGUGUGUUCUUGCUUGCCUCCUCUCUCAAAGCAACAGCUAACUGCUCCCUGACCCUGGGCCCCCACAAAAGGCCAAUGCCACCCAUUGGUGAUACCAACUGGAACCCGACUGGGAACAGAGGGCAAGGGGCUGGAGGAGGCAGUCCUAGAAGCCAGCCUCCGGGCCUACAGAGCAGGGUGAGAAGGAUACAGAGAGGGUGUGGCCCUGGGUGGGAAAAUGGAAAUAAUCAGUACAAGUACUUACUGCUCAGGGGUGUGGGCUGAAUGGGGUUCCUCCAAAAUUCAUAGGCGGAGGUCCCAGUACCUCAGGAUGUGACUGUGUUUGGAGAUAGCCUCUUUAAAGAGGCAUUUAAGUUAAAAUGAAGUCAUUAGUUUGGGCCGGAAUCCAGUGUGAUGGGGUCAUAGCAGAGGACACGGACUCACACAAAGGGAAGAGCGUGUGAAGCACGGGAGAUGACGGCUGCCUCCAAACCCAGGAGAGAGACCUCCGCAGAAACUAACCCUGCCAACACCUUGAUCUCUGACUUCCAGCCUCCAGAACCGUGAGACAAUAGAUUUCUGUUGUUCAAGCCGUUUGUCCAAGCCAGUCAACAGUGUCAAUAAAUUAUUUAGCGUAUGACAUCAA